UACGUAGGGGGCUAGCGUUGUCCGGAAUCAUUGGGCGUAAAGAGCGUGUAGGCGGUCCGGUAAGUCCGCUGUGAAAGUCGGGGGCUCAACCCUCGAAUGCCGGUGGAUACUGCCGGACUAGAGUUCGGAAGAGGCGAGUGGAAUUCCCGGUGUAGCGGUGAAAUGCGCAGAUAUCGGGAGGAACACCUAUGGCGAAGGCAGCUCGCUGGGACGUUACUGACGCUGAGACGCGAAAGCGUGGGGAGCAAACAGG
rnacentral:rRNA from 1 species